UACGGGGGGGAGCAACCGUUGUUCGGAUUCAUUGGGCGUAAAGGGUGCGUAGGCGGUCGUGCAAGUCGGAUGUGAAAUCUCAGGGCUCAACCCUGAAACUGCAUUCGAUACUGCGCGGCUAGAGUGCUGGAGGGGAGACUGGAAUUUACGGUGUAGCAGUGAAAUGCGUAGAUAUCGUAAGGAAGACCAGUGGCGAAGGCGAGUCUCUGGACAGCAACUGACGCUGAGGCACGAAGGCCAGGGGAGCAAACGGG
rnacentral:rRNA from 1 species